rnacentral:rRNA from 1 species
AGAGUUUGAUCCUGGCUCAGGAUGAACGCUAGCGACAGGCUUAACACAUGCAAGUCGAGGGGCAGCGGGGAGCAGCAAUGCUCUGCCGGCGACCGGCGGACGGGUGAGUAACGCGUAUGCAACCAACCUACCAGCGGGGGAUAAUCCACCGAAAGGUGGUCUAAGACCGCAUAAGACAGGGGCACCGCAUGGUGCUAUUUGUUAAAGGGAACACUGGUAGACGGGCAUGCGUUCCAUUAGGCAGUUGGAGGGGUAACGGCCCACCAAACCGACGAUGGAUAGGGGUUCUGAGAGGAAGGUCCCCCACAUUGGUACUGAGACACGGACCAAACUCCUACGGGAGGCAGCAGUGAGGAAUAUUGGUCAAUGGGCGGAAGCCUGAACCAGCCAAGUCGCGUGAAGGAAGAAGGAUCUAUGGUUUGUAAACUUCUUUUGAAGGGGGAUAAAGUGCGUCACGUGUGGUGCAUUGCAGGUACCCUUGGAAUAAGCAUCGGCUAACUCCGUGCCAGCAGCCGCGGUAAUACGGAGGAUGCGAGCGUUAUCCGGAUUUAUUGGGUUUAAAGGGUGCGUAGGUGGCUUUUUAAGUCAGCGGUGAAAACUGGCGGCUCAACCGCAAGAGUGCCGUUGAAACUGGGGAGCUAGAGUAUGAACGAGGUAGGCGGAAUGUGUGGUGUAGCGGUGAAAUGCAUAGAUAUCACGCAGAACUCCGAUAGCGAAGGCAGCUUACCAGGCCAUAACAGACACUGAAGCACGAAAGCGUGGGGAUCGAACAGGAUUAGAUACCCUGGUAGUCCACGCAGUAAACGAUGAUUACUAGGAGUUUGCGAUAAACAGUAAGCUCUCGAGCGAAAGCGUUAAGUAAUCCACCUGGGGAGUACGCCGGCAACGGUGAAACUCAAAGGAAUUGACGGGGGCCCGCACAAGCGGAGGAACAUGUGGUUUAAUUCGAUGAUACGCGAGGAACCUUACCCGGGCUUGAAAUGCAUCUGACCGGGCCGGAAACGGUCUUUCCCAGCGAUGGGCAGAUGUGUAGGUGCUGCAUGGUUGUCGUCAGCUCGUGCCGUGAGGUGUCGGCUUAAGUGCCAUAACGAGCGCAACCCUCAUCGUCAGUUACCAUCGGGUAAAGCCGGGGACUCUGACGAGACUGCCAUCGUAAGAUGCGAGGAAGGUGGGGAUGACGUCAAAUCAGCACGGCCCUUAUGUCCGGGGCGACACACCUGUUACAAUGGGCGGUACAGCGGGGAGCUACCUGGCGACAGGGAGCCGAUCCCGAAAGCCGCUCACAGUUCGGAUCGGAGUCUGCAACUCGACUCCGUGAAGUCGGAUUCGCUAGUAAUCGCGCAUCAGCCACGGCGCGGUGAAUACGUUCCCGGGCCUUGUACACACCGCCCGUCAAGCCAUGGGAGUCGGGGGUACCUGAAGUUCGUAACCCUUCGGGGAGCGACCUAGGGUAAGACCGGUGACUGGGGCUAAGUCGUAACAAGGUAACCGU